CCUACGGGGGGCUGCAGUGGGGAAUAUUGGACAAUGGGGGGAACCCUGAUCCAGCCAUGUCGCGUGUGUGAAGAAGGCCCUCGGGUUGUAAAGCACUUUCAGUGAGGAAGAACGCCUGGUGGUUAAUACCCAUCAGGAAAGACAUCACUCACAGAAGAAGCACCGGCUAACUCCGUGCCAGCAGCCGCGGUAAUACGGAGGGUGCGAGCGUUAAUCGGAAUUACUGGGCGUAAAGCGCGCGUAGGUGGCUUGAUAAGCCGGUUGUGAAAGCCCCGGGCUCAACCUGGGAACGGCAUCCGGAACUGUCAAGCUAGAGUGCAGGAGAGGAAGGUAGAAUUCCCGGUGUAGCGGUGAAAUGCGUAGAGAUCGGGAGGAAUACCAGUGGCGAAGGCGGCCUUCUGGACUGACACUGACACUGAGGUGCGAAAGCGUGGGUAGCAAACAGGAUUAGAUACCCCAGUAGUC
rnacentral:rRNA from 1 species